rnacentral:rRNA from 1 species
GACGAACGCUGGCGGCGUGCUUAACACAUGCAAGUCGAACGGAAAGGCCCCUUCGGGGGUACUCGAGUGGCGGACAGGUGCGUAACACGUGAGUAACCUGCCCUUGACUUCGGGAUAACUUCGGGAAACUGGGGCUAAUACCGGAUAGGAAUCCUUGCUGCAUGGUGGGGGUUGGAAAGCUUCGGCGGUUUUGGAUGGACUCGCGGCUUAUCAGCUUGUUGGUGGGGUAGUGGCUUACCAAGGCUUUGACGGGUAGCCGGCCUGGGAGGGCGACCGGCCACAUUGGGACUGAGGGACGGCCCAGACGCCUACGGGAGGCAGAAGGGGGGAAUAUUGCACAAGGGGCGGAAGCCUGAUGCAGAAACGCCGCGGGCGGGAGGACGGCCUUGGGGUUGUAAACCGCUUUCAGCAGGGGCGAAGCUUGUGGUGACGGUACCUGCAGAAGAAGCACCGGCUAACUACGUG